UCCGUAGGUGGAUAAUUAAGUCAGAGGUGAAAUCCUGCAGCCCAACUGUAGAAUUGCCUUUGAUACUGGUUAUCUUGAGUCAUUAUGAAGUGGUUAGAAUGUGUAGUGUAGCGGUGAAAUGCAUAGAUAUUACACAGAAUACCGAUUGCGAAGGCAGAUCACUAAUAAUGUACUGACACUGAGGGACGAAAGCGUGGGGAGCGAACAGGAUUAGAUACCCUGGUAGUCC
rnacentral:rRNA from 1 species